UGAGCUGCAGUCGGUGAGGACAGCCUC
rnacentral:piRNA from 1 species